rnacentral:misc_RNA from 1 species
UUACUGCGGCUAGAGUUGUCAACAAAAGCCAACAGCGGCCUGAUGGGGGACACAGAAAGCAACAAAACAUCUGAUGAAAUCAUAAACGAGCUUUUCAGUUCUCUGAAUGUCCCGUUAUCACCAAAACCACAAGAAACCAAGGAAGACCAUGACAAAGAAGGUAAAUUGACCAUAGAUAUAGCAGACUCGGACAACAGUGAGGAUGAUGAAAGUGACUCUAAGUCCAGUGGAAGCGACGAGGAGGUAAAAAGCACAUCGAGGACCGUUCAAGGUGAAGCUCAAGAUGAGGUACACGGUGAAAAGAUUGGAAAAAGAAAAUCACAAAGAAAGAAAAAAGACAAGAAGAAAAAGAAGAGAAGGCGCAGAAAGAAAGGGGAUGGAGGACGGCAUAAACAUAAGAAGAGGAAGAAAAAGGAAAAUAUUGAGCUUCCUGAUGACCAAUAUGUCUCUGACGACCUUGUUGAAGAGUCUCUCGAUGAUCAACACAUCUCUGGUGGCCUUGUGCAAGAGCCUCUUGAGGAUCAACAUAUCUCUGGUGACCUUCUUGAAGAGCCUGUUGAGGAUCAACACAUCUCUGGUGAACUUAAAGAGCCUGUUGAUCAACACAUCUCUAGUGACCUUGUGCAAGAGCCUCUUGAUGAUCAACACGUCUCUGAUGACCUUGUUCGAGAGCCCCCUGAUGACCAUAAGCAAGAAGCUCCUGACGCUCAACACGUCUCUGACAAACUUGUGCAAGAACCUCGUGACACUCAACACAUCUCUGGAGACCUUGUGCGUGUACUUCCUGACAGUCUCGUGCAAGACCCUCCGGAGCACCAGCAUCUCUCUGCCAACACUGUACAAAAAUCUCCUGAGUACCAGCGUCUCUCUGCCGAUCUUAUGCAUAAGCCCCCAGAGGACGAGGACCUCUCCUCCUGCCUUGUGUUUGGUACUGAAUUAAAAAAUCAAAUUUUGAUAAAAAAAUUGAUUGUACAGGAAGAAAUGAAGAAGGCACUGUCUCCAGAUGUGAAAGAAAGGCAAAAAAAUAUAUCCAAAUCAGAAAAGCUGAAGUUAAAUUUUUCCUUAAAAAGCGUAGAAAUUGAUACCAAAAAUAAAAUUCUGUCGAGAUGUGAUGUAGACAAGAAGGAUGAAUCACAGGCAAAGCAUGGCAAGAAUGAUCAAAUUAGACCCUCCAAGUCCCGGUCACCUGCACUGCCCGUAUCCCAGACGGUGAAUAAUAUCCACUCGAGGCCAGAGCCUCUCGGGGAAGCUAGGCAGAGGUCACCCAAGUCGAGAUCCAGGUCACAGUCGAGACGUACUGAAAAUUCAAGAUCACGUUCCAAGUCAAAAUUUUGGCAUCACAAAUCAAGAACAAAGUCGCCCAAAGCAUCAGAAAGCCAUAAGAGAUCGUCUAGAUCACAUUCAAGAUCGUUAACACCAAAGCACGUUAAAAAAAGGCGAUCUUCUAAAUCACACUCAAGGUCAUCCUCAAGAAGAAGGUCAAGAUCGAAAAGAAACUCGAGGUCGGCAUCGAAAAGAAACUCGCGAUCAAGAUCCAAAAGAAACUCGAGAUCAAGAUCCAAAAGAAGUUCUAGGUCGAGAUCCAAAAGGAACUCAAGGUCGAGAUCCAAAAGGAACUCAAGGUGUACAUCCAAAAGGAACUCAAGGUCUAGUUCCAAAAGAAAUUCACGAUCAAGCUCCAAAAGAAACUCGAGGUCAAGAUCGAAAAGAAAUUCAAGAUCAAGAUCCAAAAGAAACUCACGAUCUGGUUCAAAUAAAACCUCACGAUUAAGCUCCAAAAGAAACUCAAGGUCAAGAUCCAAAAUAAACUCAAGGUCUAUAUCCAAAAGAAACUCUAGAUCAAGAUCACAAUCAAAAGUAAAAUCACAAUCAGACUCCAAAAGAAAUUCAAGGUCAAGGUCCACAGGAAACUCGAGAUCAAGAUCCAAAAGAAAAUCCAGGUCCAAAUCUCCCAAAAAAUCAAGAUCUAGAUCCCGGAGAAGGUCAAGGUCACAAAGAAGAUCAGUAUCAAAAUCAAAGAGGUCAAAUUCAAAAUCUCCUAAAAUAUCUUCUUUUUCAAAUGAAACGUGUAAUUUAUUAGAUAAAAUAGCUAAAAAUUCCACUAUAGCUGGAGAGCUUAAAGGCGUCGAUGCUAAAAAUCUGGAUCUAAACUGCAUCCCACCGCCGGAUCCCGGACUCAAGGCACGGAACAGUUCUCGGGGUGUGAUUGCACUGGAGAGCAUACCACUCCCGAUCCCAACCCUAACUAUCCCAGAUCCCAGCUCCAUUCCUCUACCUCAGCCAUUGUCCGAGCUUGAUGGGUCGCUGAAGGAACUGAAGUCCGUAGAUGGUGUUGACUUGGACCUGAAAGCAAUCCCCGUUCCGGUUGUGUCUGGGGACGUGCUUAGCAAAGAGCAAGACAGCUGUAAGACUAAAGAUUGUAACAAGGCCAAGCAGGAAGAAGGAUCGGAAAAAGGAAAAGCCAAAACAAUCAUUAUCAAGAGUCUAAAGGACAGCCUGGUGUUCCUCCAGGCUCAGGAAGAGGCGGAGAGACGAGCUAAAGAAAUAGCCAACCAUCACGAGAAUAGUCCCAAAGACACAGACGAGAAGAGCACCGAAGAUUUGGAAGAAAAGAAAGAUGAUGAUAAAAGAGAGACGAGCCAAGAGAAGAAUGUGGAGGAAGGCGCAAAAAAGGACGUCUCAAAUAUUGUGAAUGACCUAAAAGUGGAAAUAACAGAAGUGAUUAAAGACAAAAAGGAGAUAAUUAAAACGAAGCAGGAAGCAGUUGGCAACAAAGCAGAGGAACUGGAAGAUAAAGAAGAGACAAAGAAAAGCAAAGUACCAGUCACUGAAGAAGUGAAGAAAAACGGAGAACAGAAAGAUGAUGAUAUAGCAAAUGGCAUGGAAGAAGGAGAGAUAGCUAGUGAAGAUGAAGAGCCAGAGGACAAACCAGCUCUGAAAUCUCACAGCAAGAAGAAGUCUAAGAAAAACAAAAAUAAGAGUAAAGAGAAGCGGAAAUCUCGAAAAGAUAAGGAAAAGAGCAAAGAUGACAAGAAGAGAGGCCGUGAAAGAAGCAGAAGCCACGAGCGAGACAAAACGAGAUCGCGGUCAAGAGAGAAGCACAAAUCUAGACGACGUUCAAGUAGUUCCCGCAAUAAGGAUCGGGAUUAUGAUCGACGUCACAGGCGACACUCCCGUUCUCGCUCUAGGGAUCGCUCUUCUCGCUUGCAUCGUAAAAGUUACUCCAGGUCACGAUCAAGGUCCAAAUCUCGCUCCAGACGAACGCGGGACCCGACAGCAGACCUCAGGGACAAGGUGACGAGAAAACGUCUGCUGGAGAUUGCUCGUCGUAAUGCAGUUUAUUUGAUGCAGAACGGCUGUCUGCCCCCGAGCGUUGAGCAGGAACAGCUAGUCAAAAUUAAGGCUGGUGGCAAGAGUGUUGACGAGCUCACAGAUUUCUGCAAACAACUGGUGGCCAGCGGCAACUACAGUGACGUUGAUCUGAGUGAUCCGUCAUUAAGUUCAGGUGAUGACAAUGAGAAUAUAGAUAAGCCUUUUAGCACCGCACGUCACCCCUUCAGCAUACGAGACGCUAAACCCAUCCUCAUGAAUAUUCGGAAUGCCCCCAUGCUACCAACAAAAACAAAUGCAGAGAGACUAGCUGGCCAAGCUAAGCUUCGGGAGCAGUUUCCAGUGUCCAGUGGCUCGCAGCAUCGGACGAAAGGGGAGCUGACUAACAACGAUGGAAAGCAUCAACCAGAGAGCGAUUGGGUUCCUGUCCCUCCCAAGGAGAAGAAAGAGGAGGACAAAGUGUUUCCUCAAUCGGAACCUCAGCAGGCCGUGGACAUCUCGCAGAUCGUGUCAACGCGGCUGAGCGCCAUGCGGAAGCUUCAGGACAACCCUCACGAUAGUGAAGCUAUUAAGACACUUCAUAAUGUGCAGAAAGAGAUGCAAAACUGGGCUUUGAGUAAGCAGGAACCAGCACCAGGUCAGUUCACAGGGACAACGGGGGUGAAGGUUUUAUCUCAGGAAGAGCUGUCAGCGGGUCAUCAAGCUUGGGCCAGGAAGGUCCCAACUUGUCACCGAGGUGAAGCUGCUGGGAAAAUCAGCUCCGGGGCCGUGAUGUCCUGCCGCACUGCAAGAGGAUACCCGAGUCUACAGACACUGCUAGGAACCAGGAUAUUGAUGGACUCUGUCGUGACAUGAAGCAUUUUUACUUUUUAUUUAUUUUUAGUUUAAUUUCAUUUUUUAUAGAUAUUGUUCCCACUUGUAUGACAGUCUGUUGUCAGAAAGAAAAUAUAUAAUUUUAUUGGUUUUCCAAUGAAAAAAGUUUUUAUUUGCUAGAAUGUCUCCUGAGUUGAUCCAAUAUUCUGGUUCCUAGUAGUGUCGGCACUCAAAUAAUUUGAACCAAUCUAUGGUUAUUUCAACAGUGUUCACGCAGGAUAAGGGCCAGUGGAACCAUUGGUACACUGACCCCUAGUCUGUCGUGAAUGGGGUCUGUAACAAGCUCUCAUCUUACUAUUGAUUGGGAUUUUCUGAUAAUAUCAAAUAUUUGUAAAGUUCAUGUUGAGUAGUCACAAAUGUGAGAGAAUAUGAGAGUUCGUAAGAGUGCAUCUUGGCAGGAUGAAUCAUAAGAGGGAAAAUCCCGCUGGCUUCCCAUCUUGGGCCCAGUGAAGAGAGAGCUUGUUACAGAUCCUCCCAAGCCUCCGCUCCAUCUCGUUAGUGCAUCCGGGUUCUGGCAACAGACAGCUGUGGGGCCUAAGGUGUUGUCUGGCGGCGGCUGGUGACGGGAACAACUAAAAGAAGCUGCAC